rnacentral:misc_RNA from 1 species
UCAAACUUGGUCAUUUAGAGGAAGUAAAAGUCGUAACAAGGUUUCCGUAGGUGAACCUGCGGAAGGAUCAUUACAAUAUGUGAGGGCUUGUUUACGAGGGAGCCUAGCUUCUAGUCAGCAAGCACUUGCCUGACUUGGUCAGGUACCCUUGCUUUGUUUUUCGAGUACCAUGUUGUUUCCUCGGUAGGCUUGCCUGCCCAUAGGAACCCCAAAUCAAACUCUUGUAGUAGUAGUAUCAGCCUGAGAAAUCUUAUAAUAAUCAAAACUUUCAACAACGGAUCUCUUGGUUCUGGCAUCGAUGAAGAACGCAGC